rnacentral:rRNA from 2 species
CUCAAAUAAUGUGUGCCU